AGCAGCCGCGGUAAUUCCAGCUCCAAUAGCGUAUAUUAAAGUUGUUGCAGUUAAAAAGCUCGUAGUUGAAUUUCGGGGUUAGUAGGUUGGUCAUGCCUCUGGUAUGUACUGGUCUCACUGAUUCCUCCUUCCUGAUGAACCUUAAUGCCAUUAAUUUGGUGUUUUGGGGAAUUUGGACUGUUACUUUGAAAAAAUUGAGUGUUUAAAGCAAGCUAACGCUUGAAUACAUUAGCAUGGAAUAAUGAAAUAGGACGUUCGAUCCUAUUUUGUUGGUUUCUAGGAUUGACGUAAUGAUUAAUAGGGAUAGUUGGGGGCAUUAGUAUUCAAUUGUCAGAGGUGAAAUUCUUGGAUUUAUGAAGACUAACUACUGCGAAAGCAUCUGCCAAGGAUGUUUUCAUUAAUCAAGAACGAAAGUUAGGGAUCGAAGACGAUCAGAUACCGUCGUAGUCUUAACCAUAAACUNUACGCCGACUAGGGAUCGGAUGGAUGUUUAAUUUUUAAUGUACUUCAGUUCGGCGUC
rnacentral:rRNA from 1 species